AAGCCCGGUGCAAGCGGGGUACCAGCCACUUUGGCAAAUCCGGGUGGCAAUGGGAAGCCGUGAUGCGGAGCGAAAUAAAGUAGCGAAGUCCGUGAGCCAUGCGUCAAGAAAAGCCGCUAUUGUUUAUACCGUACCCGUACCGUAAACCGACACAGGUGGAUGAGGAGAGAAUCCUAAGGCCGGCGGAAGAAGCAUUGUCAAGGAACUCGGCAAAAUGGCCCCGUAACUUAGGGAUAAGGGGUGCCUGGGAAACCAGGCCGCAGAGAAUAGGCUCAAGCAACUGUUUAGCAAAACACAGGUCUAUGCGAAACCGAAAGGUGAGGUAUAUGGGCUGACGCCUGCCCGGUGCUGGAAGGUUAAGAGGAGAGGUUAGCGGUAACGCGAAGCUUUGAAUUUAAGCCCCAGUAAACGGCGGCCGUAACAAUAACGGUCCUAAGGUAGCGAAAUUCCUUGUCGGGUAAGUUCCGACCCGCACGAAAGGCGUAAUGAUUUGAGCGCUGUCUCGACAAUGCAUCCGGUGAAAUUGAAGUACCAGUGAAGAUGCUGGUUACCUGCGCCAGGACGGAAAGACCCCAUGGAGCUUUACUCCAGUCUGGUACUGGGACUCGGUAUUGCAUGUACAGGAUAGGUGGGAGGCUAGGAGAUGGUAACGCCAGUUGCCAUGGAGCCGCUGUUGGGAUACCACCCUUGCAGUAUUGGGUUUCUAACCAGCCGCCGUGACCCGGCGGUGGGACAAUGCCAGACGGGGAGUUUGACUGGGGCGGUCGCCUCCGAAAGGGUAUCGGAGGCGCCCAAAGGUUCCCUCAGAAUGUACGGAAACCAUUCGAAGAGUGCAAAGGCAGAAGGGAGCUUGACUGCGACACCGACGGGUGGAGCAGGUACGAAAGUAGGGCUUAGUGAUCCGGUGGUAUUAAGUGGGAAUGCCAUCGCUCAACGGAUAAAAGCUACCCUGGGAUAACAGGCUUAUCACUCCCAAGAGUUCACAUCGACGGAGUGGUUUGGCACCUCGAUGUCGGCUCAUCGCAUCCUGGGGCUGUAGUAGGUCCCAAGGGUUGGGCUGUUCGCCCAUUAAAGCGGUACGCGAGCUGGGUUCAGAACGUCGUGAGACAGUUCGGUCCCUAUCCGGCGUGGGCGUAGGAUAUCUGAGAGGAGCUGUCCUUAGUACGAGAGGACCGGGAUGGACGGGCCGCUGGUGCAUCGGUUAGACUGGCAAGUCUACGGCCGAGUAGCCAAGCCCGGAAGGGAUAAACGCUGAAGGCAUCUAAGCGUGAAGCCCCCCUUAAGAUGAGAUAUCCCAUUCGAAAGAAGUAAACCCCCUUGAGGACGACGAGGUAGAUCGGGCAGAGGUGGAAGUGUGGCAACACAUGGAGCUGACUGUUACUAAUCGGGUGAGGGCUUGACCU
rnacentral:rRNA from 1 species